UCUCCCGAAGAUUGACUUAUGUAACAGCAUCUUCUAUGGACUUUCUGAAAAACUUCUAUCAAAACUCCAGAAAGUACAAAACUCUGCAGCUCGACUUGUCAGCAAAGUUCCCUCUAGGAUCCA